GAGCACCACGCCAAGAAGCUCUUGCCAGUGUUGGUUUUCAGGGAAAGAAACAGCUAAGGUGGUGAGGGCUCACACAUGCAGAUCUACAUUAAGCUGGGAAGAAAAAUUCCCCCCGAAAGGAAGCAGCCCGUAGGCACACCGUGGGGUGAGGCUGCAGUACCUGGGUGAGGGUGUGUGAGCACGGGAGGGAUGCCGAGUACCCGGUUCUGUGUCAAUCCCCCAGGAGGAGAAAGGUAU
rnacentral:lncRNA from 1 species